AAACCAACAGGGAUUGCCUCAGUAACGGCGAGUGAAGCGGCAAAAGCUCAAAUUUGGAAUCGCAUGUAUUUGCGAGUUGUAAUUUGAAGACAUAUUCUGAGGUAAGCACAUGUCGAAGUUCCUUGGAACAGGACGUCACAGAGGGUGAGAAUCCCGUGCGAUGUGUUCACUGCCUUGUGUAGAAUAUAGUCGAAGAGUCGAGUUGUUUGGGAAUGCAGCUCUAAGUGGGUGGUAAAUUCCAUCUAAAGCUAAAUAUUGGCGAGAGACCGAUAGCGAACAAGUACAGUGAUGGAAAGAUGAAAAGAACUUUGAAAAGAGAGUGAAAAAGUACGUGAAAUUGUUGAAAGGGAAGGGCUUGAGAUCAGACUCGGGUAACCGGGCCAGCAUGGGGUGGGGGAGUAGGAUAACCCUGCAGGAAUGUGGCUCUGCUUCGGUGGAGUGUUAUAGCCUGUAGAUAUACUGCUACCCUCGCCCGAGGACUGCGGAAACAAGGAUGCUGGCAUAAUGAUCUUAAGCCGC
rnacentral:rRNA from 2 species